rnacentral:rRNA from 1 species
CCUACGGGAGGCAGCAGUGGGGAAUAUUGGACAAUGGGCGAAAGCCUGAUCCAGCAAUGCCGCGUGAGUCAUGAAGCCCUUAGGGUUGUAAAGCGCUGUUGUGCAGGAGCGUAAUACUAC